GCGCCCGUAGCUCAGCUGGAUAGAGUAGGUGGCUUCGAACCACUUGGCCGCAAGUUCAAAUCUUGCCGGGCGUGCCA
rnacentral:tRNA from 1 species